rnacentral:rRNA from 2 species
GAAACGACUGCUAAGACUGGAUAGGAAACAAAAAGGCAUCUUUUUGUUUUUAAAAGACCUUCUUACGAAGGUAUGCUUAAAGAGGGGCUUGCGCCACAUUAGUUAGUUGGUAGAGUAAAAGCCUACCAAGACGAUGAUGUGUAGCUGGACUGAGUGGUUGAACAGCCACAUUGAGACUGAGACACGGCCCAAACUCCUACGGGAGGCAGCAGUAGGGAAUUUUCGGCAAUGGAGGAAACUCUGACCGAGCAACGCCGCGUGAACGAUGAAGUAUUUCGGUAUGUAAAGUUCUUUUAUUGAAGAAGAAAAAGUAGUGGAAAAACUAUAUUGACGUUAUUCAAUGAAUAAGCCCCGGCUAACUAUGUGCCAGCAGCCGCGGUAAGACAUAGGGGGCGAGCGUUAUCCGGAAUUAUUGGGCGUAAAGGGUGCGUAGGCUGUUAGAUAAGUCUAUAAUUUAAUUUCAGUGCUUAACGCUGUCUUGUUAUAGAAACUGUCUUGACUAGAGUGAGGUAGAGGCAAGCGGAAUUCCAUGUGUAGCGGUAAAAUGUGUAAAUAUAUGGAGGAACACCAGAAGCGUAGGCGGCUUGCUGGGUCUUUACUGACGCUGAGGCACGAAAGCGUGGUAGCAAACAGGAUUAGAUACCCCGGUAGUCCACGCCAUAAACGAUGAGUACUAAGUGUCGGGGUAAAACUCGGUACUGAAGUUAGCACAUUAAGUACUCCGCCUGAGUAGUACGUACGCAAGUAUGAAACUUAAAGGAAUUGACGGGACUCCGCACAAGCGGUGGAUCAUGUUGUUUAAUUCGAAGAUACACGAAAAAUCUUACCAGGUCUUGACAUACUCUGCAAAGCUAUAGAAAUAUAGUGGAGGUUAUCAGGGAUACAGGUGGUGCAUGGUUGUCGUCAGUUCGUGUCGUGAGAUGUUAGGUUAAGUCCUGAAACGAACGCAACCCUUGUCGUUAAUUGCCAGCACAUAAUGGUGGGGACUUUAACGAGACUGCCAAUUAAACAUUGGAGGAAGGUGAGGAUUACGUCAAAUCAUCAUGCCCCUUAUGAUCUGGGCUACAAACGUGAUACAAUGGCUGUGACAAAGAGUAGCUGAAACGCGAGUUUUUAGCCAAUCUCAAAAAAGCAGUCUCAGUUCGGAUUGAAGUCUGUAACUCGACUUCAUGAAGUUGGAAUCGCUAGUAAUCGCGAAUCAGCAUGUCGCGGUGAAUACGUUCCCGGGGUUUGUACACACCGCCCGUCA